rnacentral:other from 1 species
CUUUCAACCCACCCCAUGUAGGGAUGGUCAUUGAAAC